rnacentral:rRNA from 1 species
UGGCGCACGGGUGCGUAACGCGUGGGAACCUGCCCUUAGGUUCGGAAUAACUCAGAGAAAUUUGAGCUAAUACCGGAUAAUGUCUUCGGACCAAAGAUUUAUCGCCUUUGGAUGGGCCCGCGUAGGAUUAGAUAGUUGGUGGGGUAAUGGCCUACCAAGUCGACGAUCCUUAGCUGGUCUGAGAGGAUGAUCAGCCACACUGGGACUGAGACACGGCCCAGACUCCUACGGGAGGCAGCAGUGGGGAAUAUUGGACAAUGGGCGAAAGCCUGAUCCAGCAAUGCCGCGUGAGUGAUGAAGGCCUUAGGGUUGUAAAGCUCUUUUACCAGGGAUGAUAAUGACAGUACCUGGAGAAUAAGCUCCGGCUAACUCCGUGCCAGCAGCCGCGGUAAUACGGAGGGAGCUAGCGUUGUUCGGAAUUACUGGGCGUAAAGCGCACGUAGGCGGCUUUUCAAGUCAGGGGUGAAAUCCCGGGGCUCAACCCCGGAACUGCCCUUGAAACUGGAUGGCUAGAAUACUGGAGAGGUGAGUGGAAUUCCGAGUGUAGAGGUGAAAUUCGUAGAUAUUCGGAAGAACACCAGUGGCGAAGGCGACUCACUG